AAGCAAGACUCUGUCUCAAAAAAAAAAAAAAACCAAAACAAACAAAAAAAAAAAACAGAGAGAGACAAGAUAUGGUUUUGAGCCAACAAGGCUUUAAGAGAUGUGGAGCCUAUUUCUGGUACAGACUUAUAGAUUCUAAAGAAGAUGUUUACCAGUGAGGCUAAACACCUGAUGCUGAGUCAAAAAUCUGAUACUAGAUGGAAAAAAAGAAAAAGAUAUAAGCUGAGCUUUACCCAAGUAAAGAAGUAGCCUUAAUAUCCAGCUAGUGGUCUGAUUCAGGCAAAUCAACAAGGUCAACCAGAAACAGAAAAGACAGAAGGGUAAGAUUUCCGAGGGCACAGAACUCAUCAACACUCCAGGAAAGAGGUAAACAGGGCAAAGGCAAGGUGAGUGUAGGAUUCUCUGAAAUGCAGGAGAGGAAUUCUUGGUGUCGUCAGGGAAGAAAGUUUUUUCCUUAUAUAGGGGAAAAAGGGCAAAAUUCUACAACUGUUAAGUCCAAUGCCGAAUGAAGUAAGAAUCUUUGCUUGGGUCCUAUCCAAGUAAAAUAAUGAAAGGCAUGUUUGAUUUCAGUUAUUCCCCCGAGGCAGGAUGAUACUUCACCAGUGCCUCUGGCCCAUAUCCCCACCUCCAAUUACCACCAGUAGCUCCUCCUUCCUACAUUCAUUCAAGAAUUCUGUGUGGCUCCACUGUUCACACUGUUACCAAAAAUAACUAGUGAUAGAUUAGAGAUAAUAAACAAUAGAUAGGAAAAAGCAGCACCUCAACUUAAACUAAAAACUGAAAACAGACCAACAGGAGAAGGAUCAUGGAGAAUUAAGUAGCAGAUCCUAGUCUCCUGCUCCCAGCUUUUCUAAUAUCUAGGUUGUCUGCUAGUCAUCUUUACUGGAGAAAGCUGUUAAGAUCAAAUAGGGAUCAGAGGAGAAUGAAGUCUCCAUCCUUUCUUCCCCAAAGGCCCCUUUGAGGAAACACUUCUCUCCAAAUUAAAAAGUAUUCCUGCCUUUUGGCCAGAACUGCCAUCUUCCAAUAAUUUGCCAAAAUGACGAACACAAAGGGAAAGAGGAGAGGCACCGGAUAUAUGUUCUCUAGGCCUUUUAGAAAACAUGGAGUUGUUCCUUUGGCCACGUAUAUGCAAAUCUAUAAGAAAGGUGAUAUUGUAGACAUCAAAGGAAUGGGUACUGUUCAAAAAGGAAUGUCCCACAAGUGUUACCAUGGCAAAACUGAAGAGUCUACAAUGUUACCCAGCAUGCUGUUGGCACUGUUGUAAACAAACAAGUUGAGGGCAUGAUUCUACCCAAGAGAAUUAAUGUGCUUAUUGAACACGUUAAGCACUAUAAGAGCUGAGAUAGCUUCCUGAAAUGCGUGAAGGAAAAUGAUCAGAAAAAGAAGCCAACUGAAGCACCAGCCUGCUCCACCCAGAGAAGCACACUUUGAGAGAACCAAUGUGAAGGAGCCUGAGCUGCUGGAACCUAUUCCCUAAGAAUUCGUGGCAUAAUAGGUGUUAAAAAAAAAAAAAAAAAGGCCUCUGGACUGUAAAAAUGUUUCUAUUCAUUGAGUGGAAGUGUGGUGUCCUCUCCCCCAAAGAAAUAUUUAAAGCAAAUUUUAAUUGUGUCCCAAUUCAUUAUGUAUUGUAUUUACUAUUCAAAUUUAAUUUAUUUCUUGCUGAAAGACGUGAGGUAGCUUAUUGCAAUAAAUUGCUCAAUUGGUUAGAAAAUGGACAGGUAUUACAUAUGAAAUAUUUGUACUUGUUUGAAGAUAGUCCCUCUAAAUCAUCAAGGAAGAAAUAAUUUAC